AUUAUAAUAAAAUAAACGAAGAGGAAAGAAAAAAGACAAUCGUAAAUCAUAAGUUUUAGCACGAGGUUUGAUUAUCGGACUUAACUAAGAACGCCUAUGGUAUCACAGGACGUCGGGAAUUCCAAUUUCACAUGUACGUAUGAGAUGGAGCUGAGCAGAUACCUUGUUUACAAAGGUGCAAAGUAGUUAGUAGCCUUCUCGUUCCGGAGCCACUGAACUGAAAAUGCAACUUACAGCUGUCUACAUUCUGGUUGAUGUCAAGAUAUAAAUUUCAAGCAGGAAAUGCCCCAAGCCAGUAAUUCGGCAAGAAAAUCUUUGAGAGCGAAAAAUGGGCCGACGGAAGAAUGCAACAAGGAACCGGAGGUUGACACCGAAAGCAUCCAAAAAAUAAAGCAAGUGAAGCAGAAAACAAUUAAGCUGCUUCAAGAACAAGCAGCUGCCUUCAAAAACCAAGUUGAGCCCGAACUGAAUGAAGCACUAGAACGAAAGAAAAGGGAAAAAGGCAGUUAUGCAGUUUUUAUCGAGAACAGAACCACAGUCAUUGUCAUCACAGCAAGCAUCAUGAUAAUAUGCUUUAGCAUUUUCACAAGUGAAGCUUGGACCCAAGGAAGCGAAUAUGGCACACUUCAGCAAACUACGUACUCAAAAUUAUUUGAAAUACUUACCACCAAAAUUUAUCACGUGUUUGCUUUGAUAACAUUUUGAAAUGAGCAUGGUUGAAAAUAUAACCAGCACAUGUAAGAACUAUGCAGAGAAAUUUUUUUCUCGCUCUUUAGAUCAGUUUCCAUGAGAAAAUUCUUUCAUAGUUACCUACAUUAAGUAUCAUGACAUUUACUUAACACACCAUAUUUUUAAUUACAUCAUCACUAUGAUAGUUGGACUUCUAAAGCACAUGACCACAAAUCUAUCGUGCUGUAACAACUGCAGCCAUGAUUCAAAUAAAAGCUAUUACACACAUAAUUUUGAACAAACAUUGUACGGUUAUAUUUAAUGGUAUUUUAUGAAAAUGUUUAGUAAGAUUGAACGUGUCACACACAAUGGAAUGCAACUUUGUUCAAAAUAAUAUCAAAGUAGUUAGUAUGCAAGCAUGAACGACUGAUUAGCACUUAAUCACUACAGCCAUUUAUUUGGCAAUUUUAAUCAAAUAAAAAUAUGUAUUUGAAAUUAUGACCACAGUGCUAUAGCUGAAUGCAACACCCAGCUUGUAACAUUGUAAGACCACAUAGAAAUUGAAGUACUAUUAUUAAAGUUCAGUCUCUCAUGCACAGCAGGCCAGUUCAUUUUCUUGUCAUUAUCAUUAACUUGGGGAAUUUACUGUGAAUUUAUUCCUACAGUUCUAUUACAUUUGUUGUUGAAUCACAAAUUUUCUCGCCAGAUAUUUAUUAAAUGUAAUUUUCAAGCUGUAAAAGGUCAUGUGAUUAUAAUUAUAAAUAUUUGCAUGACAUAAUAUCAGACUCAACCACCUGAUCAUCAGCUCCUUUUCAUGAGACAACUGCUCUAUACACGAUCCAAACAUUGAGUGACUGUGGUCGGGCUGUUGUGUUGGAGCGUGUAACCUUAACACUAUUUGCGUAGUUGGUCAAACAACACUUUUUGUUUAUGCUUUUUUUAUACCCAAGGAAAAUAAUAGUAUGCCUUUUUCAUUUUAUUCAAAAGACAUUUACUUAAAAAAAAAAAUCCUCUCAUUUUAUCAUAAGAAACCACAGGAAUAAGACAAAAAAAAAACCAUACUGUGCUUUAUUUUUUUUAAAAAGAUGUCUGCCUGUUAAAAAAAUACACCAAAACAGAACCUAUAUUACAAAGGGUUCACACAAAAAAUCUUUUCAGAAGCGAAAAAAAAAAAAAAAAAUAUUUGGCAGACAAAUAUAAAAAAUUGGGGUAAAAUUAAGUACAGUAAAUCCUUAUUAACAAACUUGAAGGAAUUGAUUUUGGGUGUUUGUUAUAGUGAGGUUUCUUUAUAAAGUGGUGAAUUCAAAACUAACAAGUGAUAUGUACUACAAAAAUAAAUAGUUGUAUAGUUAAUAGAGUUGAAUUCAGGAUGAAGAAAUACUUUACUUUGUCAUAAGUCAUGACUGUUAAGACGGCCUAGGUAGACCGUUAUGCCUCCCUGAUCAACAGCAUACAGAAUUUUCAGUUUCAUGGCAAAAAAUAUUGCUUUUUGUUUUUGUUAUCCACUAUCUGAAAAUGAAAAAUACAUCACUGCAAGUUAAGUCUUAUAAUUCAUAAAAAAUUGGACUAGGUUUGCCCUAACAUAACCCAAUUUGUAAGUAAACAAAAUUAAUCCAUAAAAAUUAACCUCCAAACAAGAAAACAUGUUAAGUAACAUAUAUUGUACCACAAUUUAGAAACAACUUUGAACUCCUGCUUACUUUAGUUAAGUAACACUUCCACAGAAUCUAGAUUGCAUAUCAGCAUUCAUUACAACGAUCGCAAAUUUUCACAGGACACCAAUGUAAAGUUCUGCAAGUGGGAUGUAUGAGAAAUUUCAAGUGAUGUUCGGAACAUCAAUUGAUGUGUUUUUUUGUUAGUUAAUUUUGGUACAAUGUGUAACUUCACUAACUUCUAAGUGCAUUUCAGUAUGUCAAUAGUACUAUGGUCAAUAAAAUGUAAGAUGGAGGCAGUACUUGUU